GUUUCAAACCUGGAAGACUCAGAUCUACAAAAGCCCCCAACUUCCCAGGUUCGAUAUCGCCGGAUACGCGACAUGCGUCACCGUCCCCUUUACUUUGAAGGCCUUAAGGUGGCUUGAUCAAGAACUUGAGAAUUAUUGCAAAAUCUGGAACUUCAUGUCUCUUUUGCUGUUAUAUUGAAGUUUACAUUUGUUAUCUAUUUCGAAUGCAGUUGUUGGAAAGUUUGCAGGGGUUGAUGUUAAACAAGGAAGGGUAUGCUUCUAUAGGAGGUGGUUCACCCUUGCGUAAGACGACAGAUGAGCAGGUGUUUCUUUGAAGACUCAAGAACUCUAUGCCCUUGUUUUUGUUACUCGCUACUUGGACAUUUUCACCGAUUUCAUAUAUUUAUAUAACACCGUCAUGAAGCUAAUAUUCUAGGGGAGUUAUUUUUCAAUUGUUUGGUACAUUAGGCAGCACAGGAUUGUUCGCAGGUCCUAUGAUAGAGACCAAGACACCUUCCGCCAUCAUUUCCUACUGGCACCAUGUCUAGUUUUGGCCCUAAUAUUCAAUGAGAAGUUCACUUUCAAGGAGGUCAUGUGGUCAUUUUCAUUAUUUUUAGAAGCUGUUGCUAUCCUUCCUCAGCUUGUGCUGUUACAGAGAACGAGAAAUAUUGACAACUUGACAGGGCAAUACGUCUUCCUCCUUGGGUAUUCCAAACACCCUGAUAUUUUCUUUACAAAUACAAUUCUAUAUCAUAUUUUUGGUUCCUUCAUUAGACCUAUAUAAAUAGCUAAUGCUGGACAAUUAAGUUUCAGUUUUAUCUCGUGUUUAUAUGUACUUAUUGCCAGCCUGCACUACUAUAUUAGAGUAUUAGCUACUUAUGUAUCCAGUUGAAUAUUAGAGUAUUAGCUACUAUUCAUUAGUUGUCGAUUGUUUGGUUUGGGGCUAGUAUAUUAUUCUCAGUAUCUUGUUUUGCUAUCAAUGUGGAGUUUUAUAAUCCUCGUGUACAAGAACUCAUUAUUUUUCUUGGACAAUUUUUG